UCAUAGAGCAUGCGCAGGAGGACUGAGGUCUUACUUCACACAGGCCGAAAUCUGGUACCUCCAGGGGUCAGGCUCCCUGAGUCUCCUCUGGUAACUCCUGCUCCCACCUGGCAGCCCACUGCAUCCCACCACAGCCACACCAGCAGCUGUGCCCCUGAGAAAACACCUGAGCCAAGGUACGAAGAAGACCCAGACUGGGAGGACACCUGGCAGCAGUUUCUGAGCAGGACAAGAAACUGAUUUGCUGACUGCAGGAGAGUAAACUCGGCAGGCCCACUGCAAGGGUUCAUGACUCAAUCCUGAUCGAGUUAAAGAGAUCAGGGCCAGAAUUCUGAUUUGAGCAGCUGUUUAUGAAUUUUGAUUCAAAGGAGAUUUCAAACAUAAAGUUGCUCUACAGUGAUGACAGAGAAAGUACUGUUAUGAAGAUUUGGAAGCCUUGGCUCCAGACUGUUGGCACCUAGGACUCACAUAAGAGUCUCUCCUCAGUUAAUUCAUCCCUCUUCAUGCAGGCUGAAGCCCUUAUAGGAUGAACAGUGUUUAACAAGACACACCAGAGAGCUCUCAAAACCUGUGUGCACCAGGCUGUGUGAGUACAGAGCAGGAAGAUAUGCCAAGAAGAGAGCCUUGAUGAGGGACUUCUAGUCUGUACAGUUGUGACAAAAUAAAUCCUCCCAUUUAAGCCUCCAAGUUACAGUGGCCUAAGCAGAUUAAUACCAUAUGUAGGUAAAGAUUCGUUUGACAAUUUAAUAGAUUGAAUAAAUAAAGAUGA